ACAAUUUGAUAGAGUUUGUUGAUUUUGAUGAGGAUGGAUUUGUUUGGACAGCUUUAUAGAUGAAUUUCAUCCAUUCCUAAUUCACCUAAAAUAAAACCUGGCCAUGACGAUAAAAUAAGAUAAAUUAAGUAUUUUAGGGAAAGUCCUAGUUUAAAGAGAUCUGGCUGUGCUCCAUUUUAUGUCAAGAAUAAAAAAUUUAAAAAUAAUAAAAAAAUAAGGUCAUCGGGCGUGCAAGAAUCAUCCUCUAGCAACGGACAGAUGAGCAUGGAGUUAUUCACAACAAAAGUAACAUCCUCAUGUUUGUUGCAUCUCAUGUGGGACUCGUCCCAGCAUAGAAUAACAAGGGGCUCUGAGACGUUUCCUUGUGUUGCGACAGAGGAAAUGGAAAGCAAGCUUUCAGAGGAUAAUAAAGAUGUGAUGCUAUCAGAUUACCGAGUUCCACGCUCAGAAAGUGUGACAACUUUUGACUCUCAGCCUUUCCUCCCCCAGUCUCCGAUUUGGCUGCUCACAUCGCUGGUUGCCGAAAGUCAAGUCGAACACUUGGUCUUUGGGGUUUGGCAGAUUUCGGUCCGCAUCGCCAACGGAGCGCGAUGUCAGACAAAUGGCCGCUUGAUCGAAGUUUAAUACCCGUCUGUGGGUUGUCAGGUAUUGGAGCGCAGAUCCGACGCUCCCUGCCAUGUGAGAAAGGUCAGUCGCAUCAGAGCGAAGGUAGAGCGUCGUGGUGGAUCAACUGCUUGAAAACACAUUAUUAUGAUGCUGCUGCUUAUCAAAUGAUCGGCCCAUGGGGGGGAGGCUUCGAUUUCCGAGAAUCCGUAAGGAGGUCAUGGACACGAAAGCGUGAUUUCAAGAGCCAUCGAGUUGCUCUCCCCCCUGCAGAGGCACGGUUUGCAGAUGGUAGCAAAACUUGACCGCAACAGUCGAUCACAUCCUCAUCCAGGCAAAAACCGCCGCAAAAAGGGUGUGAGAGAGUGGCCACCGAGCUCGAACUCGAUCAAUCACAAACGAUGUAGCUUUCGCAUUACGGAAUAACCAGGAGGCAGCUUGCUGCGUUCAAGUGCUGGAUCACUGGUUAGUUGCGGUCGACGUAUCAACUCUAAUCGACACGCAACAAAGUCACUGAUUUUAGAUGUGGGUUUGAGCACGAACAGCAACUCUCACAUGGAGUCGGUCCCAGGGGUCUAGAUUCGGCCGAGCUUUGAAACUUUAGAGAAGCUAUUUGAGUUGGCCCGGCGUCGUCGCCUCCUCGUGACAGAGCCUCUCGCACGAGGUUUCGCGACGCGCUAUUCUCAAGGCACCCAACGAAAAGCGAAAGGGGGCUUCCGCACUUGUGCAUCUUUUGAGACUUUUUGCUCUUGUGAAAAUCUAUAUUCUUCUUCUCAUUCA